rnacentral:rRNA from 1 species
CUACGGGCUGCAGCAGUGGGGAAUAUUGGACAAUGGGGGAAACCCUGAUCCAGCAAUGCCGCGUGUGUGAAGAAGGCCUGCGGGUUGUAAAGCACUUUCGGUUGGGAGGACUGCUUCUAGCACUAAUAUUGUUGGAAGUUGACGUUACCUUCAGAAGAAGCACCGGCUAACUCCGUGCCAGCAGCCGCGGUAAUCCGGAGGGUGCAAGCGUUAAUCGGAAUUACUGGGCGUAAAGCGCGCGUAGGCGGCUAGAUCAGUCGGGUGUGAAAGCCCCGGGCUUAACCUGGGAACUGCAUCCGAUACUGUCUAGCUCGAGUACAGGAGAGGAGAGUGGAAUUCCACAUGUAGCGGUGAAAUGCGUAGAUAUGUGGAGGAACACCAAUGGCGAAGGCAGCUCUCUGGCCUGAUACUGACGCUGAGGUGCGAAAGCGUGGGGAGCAAACAGGAUUAGAUACCCUAGUAGUC